rnacentral:rRNA from 1 species
UACAGAGGGUGCGAGCGUUAAUCGGAAUUACUGGGCGUAAAGCGUGCGUAGACGGUUAUUUAAGUCGGGUGUGAAAGCCCCGGGCUCAACCUGGGAAUUGCAUUCGAGACUGAAUAGCUAGGGUACGGUAGAGGGAAGUGGAAUUCCUAGUGUAGAGGUGAAAUUCGUAGAUAUUAGGAAGAACACCAGUGGCGAAGGCGGCUCACUGGCCCGGUACUGACGCUGAGGCGCGAAAGCGUGGGGAGCAAACAGG